rnacentral:rRNA from 1 species
GCCAGACUCCUACGGGAGGCAGCAGUGGGGGAUAUUGGACAAUGGGGGAAACCCUGAUCCAGCGACGCCGCGUGAGUGAAGAAGUAUUUCGGUAUGUAAAGCUCUGUCAGCAGGGAAGAAAGAAAUGACGGUACCUGACCAAGAAGCCCCGGCUAACUACGUGCCAGCAGCCGCGGUAAUACGUAGGGGGCAAGCGUUAUCCGGAAUUACUGGGUGUAAAGGGAGCGUAGACGGCGAUGCAAGUCUGAAGUGAAAGGCGGGGGCCCAACCCCCGGACUGCUUUGGAAACUGUAUGGCUGGAGUGCAGGAGAGGUAAGUGGAAUUCCUAGUGUAGCGGUGAAAUGCGUAGAUAUUAGGAGGAACACCAGUGGCGAAGGCGGCUUACUGGACUGUAACUGACGUUGAGGCUCGAAAGCGUGGGGAGCAAACAGGAUUAGAUACCCCCGUA